GAACGCUAGCUACAGGCUUAACACAUUGCAAGUCGAGGGGCAGCAUGGACAUAGCUUGCUAUGUUUGAUGGCGACCGGCGCACGGGUGCGUAACACGUAUCCAAUCUGCCCGUUACUCGGGGAUAGCCUUCUGAAAGGAAGAUUAAUACCCGAUGGCAUGUAUUUCCGGCAUCGGAGAUACAUUAAAGAUUUAUCGGUAACGGAUGAGGAUGCGUACGAUUAGCUUGUUGGCGGGGUAACGGCCCACCAAGGCGACGAUCGUUAGGGGUUCUGAGAGGAUAACCCCCCACAUUGGUACUGAGACACGGACCAAACUCCUACGGGAGGCAGCAGUGAGGAAUAUUGGUCAAUGGUCUGACGACUGAACCAGCCAUGCCGCGUGAAGGUCACGGCCCUAUGGGUCUUAAACUUCUUUUGCGAGGGAGCAAUAAGGCGCACGUGUGCGCCGAUGAGAGUACCUCGCGAAUAAGCAUCGGCUAACUCCGUG
rnacentral:rRNA from 1 species